UGGAAACAGGGAGUGCCUUUCGGGGAACUCGGAGACAGGUGCUGCAUGGCUGUCGUCAGCUCGUGUCGUGAGAUGUUGGGUUAAGUCCCGCAACGAGCGCAACCCUUGUCUUUAAUUGCCAGCAUUCAGUUGGGCACUUUAAAGAGACUGCCGGUGUUAAGCCGGAGGAAGGUGGGGAUGACGUCAAGUCCUCAUGGCCUUUAUGCCCAGGGCUACACACGUGCUACAAUGGGUGGUACAAAGAGAUGCCAACUCGCGAGAGCGCGCCAAUCUCAGAAAGCCAUCCUCAGUUCGGAUUGGAGUCUGCAACUCGACUCCAUGAAGUUGGAAUCGCUAGUAAUCGCGGAUCAGCACGCCGCGGUGAAUACGUUCCCGGGCCUU
rnacentral:rRNA from 1 species